CUGCCGUAUACUGGGGGAUAACAUUUAGAAAUAGGUGCUAAUACCGCAUAAGCGCACAGCUUCGCAUGAAGUGGUGUGAAAAACUCUGGUGGUAUACGAUGGUUCCGCGUCUGAUUAGCUUGUUGGUGGGGUAAUGGCUCACCAAGGCGACGAUCAGUAGCCGGCCUGAGAGGGUGAACGGCCACAUUGGGACUGAGACACGGCCCAAACUCCUACGGGAGGCAGCAGUGGGGAAUAUUGCACAAUGGGGGAAACCCUGAUGCAGCGACGCCGCGUGAGUGAAGAAGUAUUUCGGUAUGUAAAGCUCUAUCAGCAGGGAAGAAAUAGCGACCUUUGGGUCGCCAGACGGUACCUGAUUAAGAAGCCCCGGCUAACUACGUGCCAGCAGCCGCGGUAAUACGUAGGGGGCAAGCGUUAUCCGGAUUUACUGGGUGUAAAGGGAGCGUAGACGGCAGCACAAGUCUGAAGUGAAAUGCCGGGGCUUAACCCCGGAACUGCUUUGGAAACUGUGCAGCUAGAGUGCAGGAGAGGUAAGUGGAAUUCCUAGUGUAGCGGUGAAAUGCGUAGAUAUUAGGAGGAACACCAGUGGCGAAGGCGGCUUACUGGACUGUAACUGACGUUGAGGCUCGAAAGCGUGGGGAGCAAACAGGAUUAGAUACCCUGGUAGUCCACGCUGUAAACGAUGA
rnacentral:rRNA from 1 species